AACUCUGGUAUUGAUUGGUGCUUGCAUCAUGAUUUACAUUUGAGUGAGUGGCGAACUGGUGAGUAACACGUGGGAAACCUGCCCAGAAGCGGGGGAUAACACCUGGAAACAGAUGCUAAUACCGCAUAACAACUUGGACCGCAUGGUCCGAGUUUGAAAGAUGGCUUCGGCUAUCACUUUUGGAUGGUCCCGCGGCGUAUUAGCUAGAUGGUGGGGUAACGGCUCACCAUGGCAAUGAUACGUAGCCGACCUGAGAGGGUAAUCGGCCACAUUGGGACUGAGACACGGCCCAAACUCCUACGGGAGGCAGCAGUAGGGAAUCUUCCACAAUGGACGAAAGUCUGAUGGAGCAACGCCGCGUGAGUGAAGAAGGGUUUCGGCUCGUAAAACUCUGUUGUUAAAGAAGAACAUAUCUGAGAGUAACUGUUCAGGUAUUGACGGUAUUUAACCAGAAAGCCACGGCUAACUACGUGCCAGCAGCCGCGGUAAUACGUAGGUGGCAAGCGUUGUCCGGAUUUAUUGGGCGUAAAGCGAGCGCAGGCGGUUUUUUAAGUCUGAUGUGAAAGCCUUCGGCUCAACCGAAGAAGUGCAUCGGAAACUGGGAAACUUGAGUGCAGAAGAGGACAGUGGAACUCCAUGUGUAGCGGUGAAAUGCGUAGAUAUAUGGAAGAACACCAGUGGCGAAGGCGGCUGUCUGGUCUGUAACUGACGCUGAGGCUCGAAAGUAUGGGUAGCAAACAGGAUUAGAUACCCUGGUAGUCCAUACCGUAAACGAUGAAUGCUAAGUGUUGGAGGGUUUCCGCCCUUCAGUGCUGCAGCUAACGCAUUAAGCAUUCCGCCUGGGGAGUACGGCCGCAAGGCUGAAACUCAAAGGAAUUGACGGGGGCCCGCACAAGCGGUGGAGCAUGUGGUUUAAUUCGAAGCUACGCGAAGAACCUUACCAGGUCUUGACAUACUAUGCAAAUCUAAGAGAUUAGACGUUCCCUUCGGGGACAUGGAUACAGGUGGUGCAUGGUUGUCGUCAGCUCGUGUCGUGAGAUGUUGGGUUAAGUCCCGCAACGAGCGCAACCCUUAUUAUCAGUUGCCAGCAUUAAGUUGGGCACUCUGGUGAGACUGCCGGUGACAAACCGGAGGAAGGUGGGGAUGACGUCAAAUCAUCAUGCCCCUUAUGACCUGGGCUACACACGUGCUACAAUGGAUGGUACAACGAGUUGCGAACUCGCGAGAGUAAGCUAAUCUCUUAAAGCCAUUCUCAGUUCGGAUUGUAGGCUGCAACUCGCCUACAUGAAGUCGGAAUCGCUAGUAAUCGCGGAUCAGCAUGCCGCGGUGAAUACGUUCCCGGGCCUUGUACACACCGCCCGUCACACCAUGAGAGUUUGUAACACCCAAAGUCGGUGGG
rnacentral:rRNA from 2 species